rnacentral:siRNA from 1 species
GGCCUCAUGUCUCUGGGGGUU